CCUACACAAAAUGAAAAAGGAAAGCCUGUAUCCAAAACGUGUUUCUAGCUUGAAACAGAUGCUUAUAUUGUAAUUUGUGGUCAUCGAUACUGUUUUAACUGUACAGACAGUGUUUAUGGCCAGGAGCUGCUCUCUGUGCAAGACCAUGCUUGAAUCCCACAGGUGUUAUUUGUGCCAGCUGCUGGGAUUGGACAAAAGUUGACGAAGCUUCACCUUUUGUCAAUUUGUUAACUUCAAGCUUUGCAAGACAAUGUGGU